AAAAUAAAGUUGCAGUGGAUGAUCCAACUGGCCUGAAUAUGCUGUGUUCCUUUGCUGAGGGGAGUUGGAGGGUGAGGGGGGGAAGCCUAGAGGUCCGGUAUACGGCACAGCGUUCAAACAGACACGCCAUUCCAUAGAUGCCUUUAAAAAUCAGAUUAAAGUUUUCUAACGAGGAUGUGUGGGGUUUUGUUUCUGGACUCCAACUGGGCAAUCUCGGAGAAUGGGAUUGUCCCAGAGGAGACGCGGGGAGAACAUUAGCGUCAGCUGUCCAUUUAAAGCAGCGGGUGUGUGGUGAGAAGAGGAGGGGUGCUGGAGUCGUCAAGGCCAGGAGGUGCUGGAGGAGGAGAGGCUGCGGGAACCUCUGUGCAUCGCCUCUGCAGACAGCAUGCUGGGAACCAGGAGAAACAGCGGCUGCUUAAGUCCUUGCCUAGGAUGGUCCAGCAACUCCAGACGUGCUGUCGCCUUCUCACCUCCUCUGCUGAGAGCUACAGAUCCUUCGUUGACAGACAGGGAGGGAAAUGUGCAAAUGGAGUGGACACGAGCAAUUUGUCCUCUGAGAGGCUCCAUCCAGCAGCUGACUCAGACAGAUGCAGACAUCCACAGCCAGAGGAUGGAGCUUGGGGACUCCUAUGGAAGAAUAGGAGGAAGAAUUGUGGGCUCCGAAGGGGAUAGGAACUCCACAGGAAGACCAACAGAGUCAACUAACCUUUACCCUUGGGAUUUCAGCGUCUGAACCACCAACCAAAGAACAUACACAGGCUGGACCUAGGCUUCCCCACAUAUAUGUACAGUUGGACCUCCACGUGGGUCCUCAACAACUAGACCGAGGGCUAUCCCAAAAGCUUUUGCCUGUACAUGGGAUAUGUUCUACCAGUGGGGCUGCCUUGUGUGACCUCAGUGGGAGAGGAAGUGCCUAGCCUCAAAGAGACUUGAAGUGCCAAGGUAGGAGGGAUAUCUAAGGGGGCCCAUACCCAUUCAGAGGAGUCAGGGAGGGGAAGGGUUGUGGGAGGGGGUGACUGGGAAGGGGCAGUGAGCAGGAUGUAAAGUAAAUAAGUAAAAACACUAAAUUAAAAUAAUUUUAAAAAAAGUCUCUUUGCUUUAGCAUUUUAGUUGUGGUGUAGUUUAUAAAUCCCUGAAGAGCACAGAGAUUGAAGAAAGACUUCUCCCAGAGGCAGACUUCUAAUGUCUCAAUGAGGAGACACACACGAUUGUGAUCUUGAAUAUUGUACAGUUUGCUGUCAGUUCUGUUAAAAAAAAAAUGUGA
rnacentral:lncRNA from 1 species